rnacentral:rRNA from 1 species
GUGAAAUCCUGCAGCUCAACUGUAGAAUUGCCUUUGAAACUGGUUGUCUUGAGUCAUUAUGAAGUGGUUAGAAUGUGUAGUGUAGCGGUGAAAUGCAUAGAUAUUACACAGAAUACCAAUUGCGAAGGCAGAUCACUAAUAAUGUACUGACACUGAUGGACGAAAGCGUGGGUAGCGAACAGGAUUAGAUACCCUGGUAGUCCACGCCGUAAACGAUGGUCACUAGCUGUUCGGACUUCGGUCUGAGUGGCUAAGCGAAAGUGAUAAGUGACCCACCUGGGGAGUACGUUCGCAAGAAUGAAACUCAAAGGAAUUGACGGGGGCCCGCACAAGCGGUGGAGCAUGUGGUUUAAUUCGAUGAUACGCGAGGAACCUUACCAGGGCUUAAAUGUAGAGUGACAGGUCUAGAGAUAGAUUUUUCUUCGGACACUUUACAAGGUGCUGCAUGGUUGUCGUCAGCUCGUGCCGUGAGGUGUCAGGUUAAGUCCUAUAACGAGCGCAACCCCUGUUGUUAGUUGCCAGCGAGUAAUGUCGGGAACUCUAGCAAGACUGCCAGUGCAAACUGUGAGGAAGGUGGGGAUGACGUCAAAUCAUCACG